AAGAAAUAGGACAUGUGUGUUUCUUAGAGGAUUUAGUGUCUGAGAACAUGGGAACAACAGAAAUGAUGUUUGUUUGUUUGUUUGUUUUUUUCGUCAGUUUUGUUUUGUGCAAGGACAGGACAAACAGAUAAUGUGUGAAAAGGACUUGAAAUAAAUCCAUGUCCUGUUGCAGUGCAAUGUCACUCUAAGAAUUGUUUUUUGAUUAUUCAGUUUCAAUUUAUUUUUAAUGCGUUACUUGUGAUUUUCUGUUUCCUUGGGGUAUAAAUAUAGUGGGGUUUUUUCCGCUGGUGGAGGACCCUUUUUGUUGUCGCCACAGACGCCUGCUGCAACACUUGGCGAAAGAGGAUACGAAGGGAUCCUUGCUCAAUCCUUUUAAGGGCCCACAGCAUAACGGAUCCUCCGCCCUGCUUAAAGCCACAUGGACAGGGCUCCGUCACACAGAGAGAGAGAGCAGGAGUUUU